rnacentral:rRNA from 1 species
GACGAACGCUGGCGGCGUGCUUAACACAUGCAAGUCGAACGGAAAGGCCCUGCUUUUGUGGGGUGCGCGAGUGGCGAACGGGUGAGUAACACGUGAGUAACCUGCCCUUGACUUUGGGAUAACUUCAGGAAACUGGGGCUAAUACCGGAGAGGAGCUCCUGCUGCAUGGGGGGGGUUGGAAAGUGUGGGCUGUUGGGGAUGGACUCGCGGCUUAUCAGCUUGUUGGUGGGGUAGUGGCUUACCAAGGCUUUGACGGGUAGCCGGCCUGAGAGGGUGACCGGCCACAUUGGGACUGAGAUACGGCCCAGACUGCUACGGGAGGCAACAGUGGGGAAUAUUGCACAAUGGGCGGGAGCCUGAUGCAGAAACGCCGCGUGCGGGAUGACGGCCUUCGGGUUGUAAACCGCUUUCGCCUGUGACGAAGCGUGAGUGACGGUAAUGGGUAAAGAAGCACCGGCUAACUACGUG